UUGGAGGGCAAGUCUGGUGCCAGCAGCCGCGGUAAUUCCAGCUCCAAUAGCGUAUAUUAAAGUUGCUGCAGUUAAAAAGCUCGUAGUUGAAUUUCGGGACUAUCAUGUCGGUCGUGCCUCGGUACGUACUGGUAUUGUUGGUUUCUCCCUUCUGACGAACCAUGAUGUCAUUUAUUUGGUGUUGUGGGGAAUCAGGACUGUUACUUUGAAAAAAUUAGAGUGUUUAAAGCAGGCUCACGCUUGAAUACAUUAGCAUGGAAUAAUGAAAUAGGACGUUUGAUUCUAUUUUGUUGGUUUCUAGGAUCGACGUAAUGAUUAAUAGGGAUAGUUGGGGGCAUUAGUAUUCAAUUGUCAGAGGUGAAAUUCUUGGAUUUAUUGAAGACUAACUACUGCGAAAGCAUUUGCCAAGGAUGUUUUCAUUAAUCAAGAACGAAAGUUAGGGGAUCGAAGACGAUCAGAUACCGUCGUAGUCUUAACCAUAAACUAUGCCGACUAGGGAUCGGAUGAUGUUAAUUUUUUAAUGACUCAUUCGGCGCCUUACGGGAAAC
rnacentral:rRNA from 1 species